rnacentral:rRNA from 1 species
GUGAGUCAUCGAAUCUUUGAACGCACCUUGCGCUCCUUGGUAUUCCGAGGAGCAUGCCUGUUUGAGUGUCAUGAAAUUCUCAACCUAUAUAGUUUUCUAACUAGUUAGGCUUGGAUCAUGGAAGUUGCUGGCUCAAUUCGAAUCAGCUCUUCUUAAAUGUAUUAGCAAAGACUUUUGCUGACCAUCAUUGGUAUGAUAAUUAUCUAUAUCAUUGGUAACCAGUUCCCUUUCAUAGGGAGGUCUUCGUCUUCUAAUAGGUCGUUUUCGACAACUUGACACCUUUUGACCUCAAAUUCAGGUAGGACUACCCGCUGA